rnacentral:rRNA from 1 species
GAUGAACGCUGGCGGCGUGCCUAAUACAUGCAAGUCGAGCGAAGAGGGGACGGGUGAGUAACACGUGGAUAACCUCCUCUAAGACUGGGAUAACCUCUGGAAACCGGAGCUUAACCCGAUACUUAUAGAUGGAUCCGUGCUGCAUUAGCUAGUUGGUAAGUUAACGGCUUACCAAGGCAACGAUGCAUAGCCGGCCUGGAAGGGUGAUCGGCCACACUGGAACUGAGACACGUGCCAGACUCCUACGGGAGGCAGCAGUAGGGAAUCUUCCGCAAUGUGCGAAAGCCUGACGGGGCAACGCCGCGUGGGUGAUGAAGGUCUUCGGGUUUUAAAGCUCUGUUAAUCGGGACGCGGUACCGGAAUAGAAAGCCACGGCUAACUACGUGCCAGCAGCCGCGGUAAUUC